UCCCUGGUGACUCAGAGGGUAAAGCAUCUGCCUGCAAUGCAGGAGACUCAGGUUUGAUCCCUGGGUCGGGAA
rnacentral:tRNA from 1 species